rnacentral:rRNA from 1 species
AACUGAAUCUCGUAAUAAGGAAACCCGAGUGCCAGCACAGGCUGGCUGUCCACCAGUGUAAAUAACUGGUGAAGAAAGGGCCGGGCAAGACCGGUGCCAGCCGCCGCGGUAAUACCGGCGGCUCGAGUGGUGGCCGCUAUUACUGGGCUUAAAGGGUCCGUAGCUGGAUAUACAAGUCCCUUGAGAAAUCCGCCGGCUUAACCGGUGGGCGUUCAGGGGAAACUGUAUUUCUAGGGACCGGGAGAGGUGAGAGGUACUGCCGGGGUAGGAGUGAAAUCCUGUAAUCCCGGUGGGACCACCUAUGGCGAAGGCAUCUCACCAGAACGGGUCCGACAGUGAGGGACGAAAGCUGGGGGAGCAAACCGGAUUAGAUACCCGGGUAGUCCCAGCUGUAAACGAUGCGCGUUAGGUGUGUCAGUGACCACGUGUCACUGAGGUGCCGAAGGGAAACCGUGAAACGCGCCGCCUGGGGAGUACGGUCGCAAGGCUGAAACUUAAAGGAUUGGCG